UCGAUUAAGCCAUGCGAGUCUAGAGGCCUAGCCUCGGCGUACCGCUCAGUAACACGUGGGUAACCUACCCUAUGCUGGGGAAUAAGCUCGGGAAACUGAGAAUAAUACCCCAUAGUCCACUACGCCUGGAACGGUGAGUGGAUCAAAGCUCCGGCGGCAUAGGAUGGGCCUGCGGCGUAUCAGGUUGUAGGGGGUGUAAUGUACCCUCUAGCCAUCCACGCGUACGGGUGUUGGGAGACAUUGCCCGGAGAUGGAUUCUGAGACACGAAUCCAGACCCUACGGGGUGCAGCAGGCGCGAAAACUUGGCAAUGCGAGAAAUCGUGACCAGGGAACUCCAAGUGGCAGGGGUAAGACCCUGUCUUUUUCCGACUCUAAAUAGGUCGGCGAAUAAGGGGUGGGUAAGGACGGUGCCAGCCGCCGCGGUAAUACCGGCGCCUCAAGUGGUAGUCGCUUUUAUUGGGCCUAAAACGUCCGUAGCCGGUCUGGUACAUUCGUGGGUAAAUCAACUCGCUCAACGAGUUGAAUUCUGCGAGGACGGCCAGACUUGGGACCGGGAGAGGUGUGGGGUACUCUCAGGGUAGGGGUAAAAUCCUGUCAUCCUGAGAGGACCACCUGUUGCGAAGGCUCCACACUAGAACGGAUCCGACGGUCAGGGACGAAGCCUAGGGGCACGAACCGGAUUAGAUACCCGGGUAGUCCUAGGUGUAAACGCUGUGGACUU
rnacentral:rRNA from 1 species